UAUGGCUAUAUCAGGUUGAAUCACAGGUUCCCGUACAAUUACCGAAGUUAAGUAACGUCGUGCCUGGUCAGUACCUAAAUGGGUGACCGCUUGGGAAUACCAGGUGCUGUAAG